GAAAUUGAUGUGGGUGUCGCCUUAGGAUAGUUUGGAGCUGUGUGCGUGUGUCGGCGUGCUUGAGGUGUGGUACUGGAUAUGAGUAGGAUGGGCAGAUUGGCUUGAGCUAGUCUUGCUUGGGGCUCGAUCCUUUUUGUGAUAUGUCAGGAUGAGUACAGAUUUGAGUUGGUCUCACUGACUCUCUCAUUUGGAUUAUUAAGAGAAAGUCUGGCUCAAGUUGAUCUCACUGGCAGAGGUUAGAAUUAAAAGAGCUGUGUAGGGGAUUAGC
rnacentral:misc_RNA from 1 species